AUUGGACAAUGGGGGCAACCCUGAUCCAGCCAUGCCGCGUGUGUGAAGAAGGUCUUCGGAUUGUANAGCGCUUUAAGUUGGGAGGANGGGCUUUAGGUUAAUACCCUGAAGUUUUGACGUUACAAACAGAAUAAGCACCGGCUAACUCUGUGCCAGCAGCCGCGGUAAUACAGAGGGUGCAAGCGUUAAUCGGAAUUACUGGGCGUAAAGCGCGCGUAGGUGGUUCAGUAAGAUAGGUGUAAAAUCCCCGGGCUUAACCUGGGAACUGCUUUCAUAACUGCUGAGCUAGAGUACGGUAGAGGGUGGUGAAAUAUCCUGUGUAGCGGUGAAAUGCGUAGAUAUAGGAAGGAACACCAGGGGCGAAGGCGACUACCUGGACUGAUACUGACACUGGGGUGCAAAAGCGUGGGGAGCAAAC
rnacentral:rRNA from 1 species